AAACAGGGAGAAAAGAGCAGACGUUCAUGACUGUAGCUUUACUGACUGAGAGAUUUUGUGAACAGUGAAUCAGCACAUGAUUGUGCAGUGGAGAAUAAGCUUUUAGCAAGAUCUUGUAAUAGAAAUGACAUCAAGAACCGAAUCAUUGUAAAGACAUGUUACUGGACCUGGCUCCUGGUAGAUCCUAACAUUUAAUGACAAGAAAGUAGUUCCAGUGGAUUACUCAGGAGAAGCAAAUGGGAACUUUGUGAAGGUAAAUCAAAAGAAUGGAUUGUAUCUGAACAAAGAAUAGAAGUGCAAAACAAUAUUUGUAGUAGUCCAUGCUCACACUGCUAUAAGGACAUACCCACGACUAGGU